GAUAGCAUGCCAGUAAUUGUUAGUGAUCCACGCACAUUGAAGUAUUUUAAAUAUCACACCAACAAUAAAUUAAAAUAUAUAAACCUUUAAGCAGUACAAAAUAUAACAUAAUUUACCUCAGACACAGGUACUUGUUCCUUAGUGGGAGCUUGAUUUUUUAAUCUUGAAAACAAAAUAAAUAUUGAGUAUUUUAUUUUAUGUUUACAAUGGAAAAAUAUGAAAGUAAUUCUAUGCAUGCUUAAAAUAAUUUAAAUGCACAUCUAAAUUAAUGUGUACAUCCACUAUAAUAGUAAAUGACAUAAAUGUUUUAAGGGAAAAAUAAAUGCAUGAGAAUAGGUAUCCAAUAUAUAUUCUAAAUAAAUAAAUACAGACAUGCAUUUCUUCUCUAAAAACAAGAACACUUAAGAAAUGUUUUCUAUUGUAUUAAGUACAAUUAAAAAAAAUUUUAGUAGAACAGUUCCCAAAAAAGAAUUACCCUUUAAAAAAAUAAAAGCAGCUAUGCUUAAUAUUUAUAAUAUGCAUCAGUAUUUACUACUAUAGGAUUCAAAAAGUGACAGGAAAUAUCUAUUGUAAAAAUUCAAAAUAGUAACGUAAUUUCAAUAUAUAUUACAAUUAACUUACUCUAGAAUUUUGAAGAAUGUAUUCUCUUAAAAACCUUUAUAAGCAUAGCCCAAACAGUAACUAUAAUUUUUAAAGUCUGAUUUCUAAAAAAUACUAAUUAUACUUCUGACAACAUUAACAAAGGCAUUUGUUAAUCUGUAAAAUCUUUUAAAAUAUAUCAAUUUAACAUAAAAGCUAGCUUUCCAAAGGAUCUUUGUCUUAGAAGAUGCUGAUGCUAAAUAUUAUUUGUUGAUAUUGCAUAUUAAACUAUUUUAAUUUGCAUAAGUAGAGCAUCUGCCUGAUCCUAAAUGUCAUUAACAGUUAAGUGAUUCAAAACUUAGUGAAGGAGUUCCCGUCAUGGCUCAGUGGUUAACAAAUCCAACUAGGAAUCAUGAGGUUUCAGGUUCGAUCCCUGGCCUCGCUCAGUGGGUUGCCGUGAGCUGUGGUGCAGGUCGCAGACUCGGCUCAGAUCUGGCCUUACUGUGUGGCUCUGGUGUAGGUCGGCAGCUACAGCUCCGAUUAGACCUCUAGCCUGGGAACCUCCAUAUGCUGCACAUGCAGCCCUAGAAAAGACAAAAAGACAAAACAAAAGAAAAAAAAUUAAUGAAGACUUAAUGACUAUACUUAAGGAUUAAUAUAUUUAACAUAAGCAACAACUAUACUGACUUAAAUUUCAUGGACAGGAGCUCCUGUCAUGGCUCAGCGGAAAUGAAUCUGACUAGUAUCCAUGAGUAUACAGGUUCAAUCCCUGGCCCUGCACAGUGAGUUAAGGAUCCAGUAUUGUUAGAGCUGCAGUGUAGGUCACUGCAGAUGUGGUUCUGAUCUGGUGUUACUGUGGCCGCGGCCAUAACAUAGGCCAGUGGCUACAGCUCUGAUUCAACCCCUAGCCUGGCAACCUCCAUAUGCCAUUGGUACGGCUCUAAAAAGACAGAAAUUAAUUAAUGUAAUUAAUUUCUAAAAAUAAAUUUCAUGGACAAAAAUAAAGAUAUCUAGUACAAUAUCAAUCAUUCUAAAAGCUAAUCUCAUGGUUACUCAAUGAAAUAUGGAGUUGGCAACACCCCUCUUUAUCUGUUCUCUGAGGAUACAUUAAAAUAUUAAGUUUAUAAAUGCUGUUUUCUUAAAUCUUAGUGAUAACUGUAUAAAAUUACUUAUGUACAUUUUAGUAAUUACAUGUAAUUAUAACAAUCUAAAAUAAAACCUGUCCUUUUUUGAAGAGGUACUAUAUUGAUAGUGUUUAAAAUAAUUGUCAACUAAUUUUACUAAAUAAAUCUAAAUGAAUAAAACCCGCACAAAAAAUGGACAAAAUGCACACGUCUUUCAUUGUGGGGGUUACAUAUUUUGUAAUUCUCUCAGACAAGUAAUUGUGAAAAAUGUUCAAAAAGAUGAAAUAACAUCAAGUGUACAGUACAACUUCACUGCUUUAAUAACGUAUGUAAGAAAAUAAUAGUUGUAAGAAUAACAUCUACAAAAUUGUAAGAAACAUGAAAAAUCAGUGGGAAGAAAAAGAAGCGAUAUUGGAUUAAUGAAGUUUUGAAAUAACUGAAUGUUAAAACUGAUUUCUAUUUCUAAGCAUUUAAAAAUUUUAAACUCAGUUUGAAAAACUGAAACAAACUGGUUGCAAGGCAGUUUAAAAAUAUUUCAUAAAAGCAUUUUCCUUUUCAGCUUUCUAUUGAAAAUGUUAUCAAAGACUAACCUUAAAUUCUUACAAAAGAAACAUUACUAUGAUAAUCAUUUUUGCAUACGGCUAUUUUAAUAAAUUGAUUUUUUGCAGCAAUUAAAGUGAAAGCUAUUAAGCAUGUUUUACUACUAUCGCUGGCAUUUCAAUUGGGGAAACUGAAUUUUUAAAAUAUCUCUUUAAGGGAGGUUGGUGACAGGUUUUUAUAACUCUUCAUUUUACUGGCUAAGAAACUGACACACAAGAACAAAAUAAGUUACUGAAAUAACUAGCAAUAAGAGGCUUAUGUUUCCAAUCUUUUUCUGUGGCUUUAACCAUACUAGUAUUCUGUUUAAGGGACAGAAUUAUAAUAACCAGUGAAAACAUUUAGAAAAACAAAUCUAAAAAAAAUUAGAAAAGCAUGUGACACAAAGUUUCAUUAAGUUAUAAAUUUGUCAUUAAAAUGUACACUAUGUUUUUGUAACUAGAAAAGCAUACUUUAAAAAACUUUAAUACAACUACUAAUACAUCACUACACUUUUGAAAAGAAAAAUAUUCUUACCUUUAAUCUUAUUCAUUAAAGAUACUUGCUGAAAUAGUCAUCAUUUCAGAUAUUCAAUUGCUUGGUAGAAGACAGUGAAAUUUGCUAAGCUCAAAGUUCUGAGCUAAUGACCUGCCAUUAGGUAAUUACACUUUUCACCUGUGAAUGUUGCAAUAUUUUUUAAUAAAAAAAUUGUAUAGCAUUUAAAACAAACACUAUUUAAGAUUUCAGUGUAAAGAGAACAGAAGGACUGGUUAUGAAUUUCAAAAACAAUCACUAGAAAUUAAGAUUGUUAAAUAAUUAAUUUUUCUUCUGUAUGUAAACCUGCUUUCCCCUCUAAGUUUCAAAAUGAAAUAAAUGUCCCUACUCGUAUUUUUCUACAGCACACAUGACCAGACCAAAGCUACAUGUGAAAUGAUUAUUUUGGUUAAAUUACAUUAUUGUGUUCUUUUGGUGUUUCAUUUAUACUACAAACAUACCAUGAGAUAGAGGGAAGAGCCUUAAGGGGAAAAAUGUUAAGAUUCAUUUCAGUCAGACCGCAUUCUUUCCUUCUAAUAACAUUUAAAAGCCAAAAGUUUCAAUGCUAAUUUUCAAAAUGUAAUCUUUAAGAAUGUUUGUAAGUAAACUCCAAAAGCUGAAAAGAGGUUUAGAACAAGUCAGUAGUCAAGUCAACCAGUUCUCAAGAACUUCUACUUAUACAUUCAAGAUUAAAUCUGGAAUAGCAAUCAUCAGACUAGUAAGAGUAAAACAUCUAGUGCACAAUUUCUGAUUUAUUGUUCUGAAAUAUGUUAAGAGAUAUGCAGAAAGGAUGAUUGAUCUAAACAAUUGCCAGGUUUCAUCUACAUCAUGUACUAUGCUAAGAGUUUCAGUCCAAAGCUAAGACACACCUCUUCCUGUUAAGGAGUUCACUGUGAAGGAAAUAUACUGAAGCAAAUGUUUACAGAAUUGUCAAGUGUUAGAAAAGAGACAUCUAUAUUGUGGCUAUACAAAGGAUCAGGAUUCUACAAAGGGGAAAGAUGCAAGGAAGCAGGGAGACUAUUACUGUGAAUAUGGUUUUACAGCAAAAGCAGGAGUUAAUAGGGAAAGGAGAUUCAAAGCAGAACAAAAGCAAAUGUAAUACAUGACAGCAAUUAUAUGAUACUGAAUGGUCUCACAUGACUAGAAUGUAAAGAACAAGGGAGAGUAGUCAAAGAUGCAGCUGAAGAGAUAGCAAAGGAUACUUCAGGAAAGGUCUUGAUUGUCACACUAAAAUGUUGGUACCAAGAACUUUUAUUCUAAGGUUAAUAGAAAGUAUCAGAUUUGUGCAUCAGAAAGAGAAAAGGCAGUAUCAGAAGAGGAUAAGUUCCAGUCAGGGAGUAUAGACAGGAGACAAUUAAUGACUGUGACAAGUAAACCAGCAGGAGUGUCAAUGAAGAGGAGGAAGGUUUUUUUGGGGGGAGAGGUGAUAAAGGAAAGCCAACAAAAUAUAAGUAUUGAUUGGAUAAAGGUACACAAGGAGAGCAAAUAUGGCCUCCUUCAUGUCUGCCUUGAGUGGCAAGAGAAUGGUAACACCAUUAAC